GCAUGGUGGCUUUUACUCUAGACUGGAGGUUCUAACCCCAAAGCCUUCAGGGAACAGACGGAUAACAUAAAUCACAUAAAUGAGAACAUGGGUGGAGUAGGAAUUGCUAGGCCAGGUACAGAGGCCCAGUAUUACCAGGUCUUCUGUUUUAAGGAGAAACCAAAUAUACAGAUUUGUAUAAAACCUCACUAAUUCUUCACUUAAAAAAUUUUGCAAGAGGACUGUUGUUUUAAAUUUGCUGGUAUAUACAAAAAAUCCACAAAUCUGUUAAUUGUGCCUAUCCUAUUUUACCCUUUUCCUCCCCCCUAGGCUAUUUGCUUCCUCAUUAAACUAGUGAACUCCAGAAGAUUGUGAUGAUGAUGGCAACAUAGUUCUUAGAUUUCUCCAAAUCUCCACAUUAAAGAAAAAAUAAAGUCACAGCAACUAGACAUCCAAACCACAAACUCCAACAUUCAAGUGGUUGGGGAAAACCCUUUAACAACUUCGAGACCUGCCUAGAAUUGGCAUCUCUUCAGGAGAAAGCAGAGACUGAUCAAACUAUCCAAAGACUCUACUGGUCUCUCCUUGGAAGAUGGAGCCUGGUUACCAGCUUUCUGGGACCUAAAUAAAUAAACAGGCCUGAAAGCUGUGUGUACCUCUGACUUCAUGGUGUUUGCUUGCCUGUGACCCAGAAGAUAGCAUCACGUCAUGGACCUGAAACCCCAGAAAGUGCAGCUUGGUGCAGAGAAGACUGUGCAGGUAUCUGCAGGUGACCCUGAUUCUCACUGGGGCUCCCUGGGCUGAUGCCAAGGCUGUGGCCCACUUUAGAAUGGCUCUGUCCUCCGGCCUCAAAGUUCUUGGAUACACUUCCUGGGACACUACGUGGAAUGGGUUAGGAGAACCAGAUCCCCUCUGGAUAGGGGACGAAGGCAUUUGAGUAACAGCAACAGCUUUCUGGGUCAAGAGUCUGCACACCAGCCUUGGAGAGAGCAGCCCCUGCCUCCAGACUGUAAGGGCUGCCCCUAUGGGUUAGGAAGAUCCAGGGUGUGAGUCUCCCUUGGGAAAGGCUUCCUUCCCAGAGACAUUUUCCUAGUUUAUUCUAUACUUAGACGUUUGAUAUGGUUUGGCUUUGUGUCCCCACCCGAAUCUCAUCUUGAAUUAUAAUCUUCAGGUAUUGAGGGUGGAUCCUGGUGAGAAGUGAUUGGAUCAUGGGGGCGGUUUCCUCCAUUCUGUUCUCAUGGUAAGUGAGUUCUUAUGAGAUUUGAUGGUUUCACAAGUAUUUGGCAAGUUCCUCCUACACUCACUCUUCCCUCUCCUAUUGCCAUGUGAAGAAAGUUCUUGCUUCCCCUUUGC